AGCAUCCUGUUCUUGCAGCUACAGAGGAGAUUGAUUUCCCAUGGUUAGCCGGAGGAGCUGGGACAUGUCCUACCAUCCUGCUCUCCAAAACAGAGAUUGGAAGAGUGCCAGCACCUUGUCAAAUGGUGUUCAUCCGUUUGUCCCUUGGACAGGCCAUCAUUGGAAGAUGUUUUCAGCCAUUCUUGGCUGCAGGACAUACAUCUUCUCCAAGAGAUGACAAAGAUCCAUCCCUCUGCACAGUAGGAUCUGGCAAAUUCUAGCUGGGGCCUGGACUGCAUUGGGAAGUGUUGUGACUGUCUGCAGAAUGGAUUCACUGCCAGUGCCACCCUGGCAGGUACACCUCCUUCCAGACGGAUGAGGACAUCAUCUGGGAUCAGCUCCUCUUCCAGCAGCAAGUCUCUUAAGAUAUGUUCUACCACAGUGUGCUAUUCAUAGUGCACCAAUAGUGUGAAAAGUUUUCCCUUUGAGACCAAUCAUAUUUCACCUUAG